UGAAAACCCACAAAAAGGAGCAGAGUGACACAGUGAGCAUUGAUGCAUAUGAGCUUGAAACACCAAUCACACACAUGAAUAGCAGAUGGCUUUUCCAAGACUCAUUUAUCAAGGAACAAAGAAAGUUGUGUGUAUAGGACUUUCAUGCAUAUCUUUGUAAUUUGACUAUGAGCCAACUACUUUAUUCAAUAAAUAGGACAGCCUCUGUAAGCAGCCUUCCUUGAGCUCUCCCUAGCAGGCAGUGUGGCUGCAUGGUGGUGAUCUCCUUUUGAUCUGGGACACCUCUCAAGGUUGCUUCUCAAGGCAGAGACACCUUUUGACAACAGCAGAUCUUUGGUUACAAUGUGGAUGAAGAUUUUUAUAAUGCACGGCAAGAUUGGUUCCAGCCUGCCCUGUGUAACUGUGAAGACAAUCUCUUACACCGGCAUGAACCCGAUGAAGUCCAACAAAGUAUUUUGGAUUUACUGUGCCACUAGACCUUCGCAAUACCUGUCACCAUUUUUUUUUCUUGUAAUCAUUGUUUUUGUCUAAUUUUCAAGAAAAUAAAAUUAUGGACAUGAGAAA